rnacentral:rRNA from 1 species
GAUGAACGCUAGCGGCAGGCCUAACACAUGCAAGUCGAGGGGUAGAAGGAGCUUGCUCCUUUGAGACCGGCGCACGGGUGCGUAACGCGUAUGCAAUCUACCUUGUACAGGGGAAUAGCCCAGAGAAAUUUGGAUUAAUGCCCCAUAGUAUAUAACCUUCGCAUGUUGGUUAUAUUAAAGUUCCAACGGUACAAGAUGAGCAUGCGUCCCAUUAGUUAGUUGGUAAGGUAACGGCUUACCAAGACGAUGAUGGGUAGGGGUCCUGAGAGGGAGAUCCCCCACACUGGUACUGAGACACGGACCAGACUGCUACGGGAGGCAGCAGUGAGGAAUAUUGGUCAAUGGUCGCAAGACUGAACCAGCCAUGCCGCGUGCAGGAAGACGGUCCUAUGGAUUGUAAACUGCUUUUAUACAGGAAGAAACCCUCCCACGUGUGGGAGCUUGACGGUACUGUAGGAAUAAGGAUCGGCUAACUCCGUG